rnacentral:tRNA from 1 species
GCCCUGAUAGCUUAAUGGUAGAGCAAUUGUUUCGUAAGCAAUAGGUUGAGGGUUCAAUCCCCUUUCAGGGCU